rnacentral:rRNA from 1 species
GGUUAAGCGACUAAGCGUACACGGUGGAUGCCCUGGCAGUCAGAGGCGAUGAAGGACGUGCUAAUCUGCGAUAAGCGUCGGUAAGGUGAUAUGAACCGUUAUAACCGGCGAUUUCCGAAUGGGGAAACCCAGUGCAAUUCGUUGCACUAUCGUUAAGUGAAUACAUAGCUUAACGAAGCGAACCGGGGGAACUGAAACAUCUAAGUACCCCGAGGAAAAGAAAUCAACCGAGAUUCCCCCAGUAGCGGCGAGCGAACGGGGAGGAGCCCAGAGUCUGAAUCAGCGCGUGUGUUAGUGGAACGGUCUGGAAAGUCCGGCGGUACAGGGUGAUAGCCCCGUACACUAAAAUGCACACGUUGUGAACUCGAAGAGUAGGGCGGGACACGUGGUAUCCUGUCUGAAUAUGGGGGGACCAUCCUCCAAGGCUAAAUACUCCUGACUGACCGAUAGUGAACCAGUACCGUGAGGGAAAGGCGAAAAGAACCCCGGCGAGGGGAGUGAAAAAGAACCUGAAACCGUGUACGUACAAGCAGUGGGAGCCU